AUCAGUGCAAAACAGAAAUGGCUGACGUUUAAUCGUCUACUUCAAAAACAAGAAAUCGUGAUUCCAAUACGAUACUGAAUCUAAAACUUUUGAUUAUUUAAGGCCUUUCAAUAACCUGACCGUAGCCCAGUGACACAUAGGACACACAAAGAAAUGGCAAAGAAUUCUCAAUUGGUCGACUUGGCAUGGGAACUUGGUGUGACUGCUGCAUCAAGCUGUGAGGAACAAGUGGGGCAGACAUAUGUCAGGAUCAAGAUGAAGCUAAAUACUGAAAAAUCAUUAGAAACAGUUUUGAUGGAAUUGUCUCUCAAACAGUUUUAUGAUCUUCUGCAUGACCUAGAAAAGGCCCAAAACAUCAUGAAUAAUGUUUAAAAUGAUAACCAUAAUGAAAAUAAAUGAUGUAAAUAAAUAAUUCUAGACACA